rnacentral:misc_RNA from 1 species
AACGCACCUUGCGCCCCUUGGUAUCCCGAGGGGCAUGCCUGUUUGAGUGUCAUUAAAUUCUCAACUUGACCUGAAAAUGAAAUGAAAUGACAUGAAGUUUUCAGAGUCAAGCUUGGACUUUGGAGCAUGCUGGCCUCACUACCACAAGGUCGGCUUCUCUGAAAAGCAUUAGCAAAAACCUGAUUGGGCUCAAUCAAGCUUUGUUGGCAUUGAUAAAUUAACCUGUCUAUGUCGCUGGCUGAACCGUGAGCGUGCCUCUCGUGCUAUUUUGCUUCCAAUUGUCUGCUUUCGUGUAAAAAGUCACACAAAGUGCAUUUUGAAACAUGACCUCAGAUCAGGUAGGACUACCCGCUGAACUUAA